ACUGAUUGGUGGAUCGCUGGAGCUCCUCAACACCAAGGGGCGUGGCCCACCAGCCCACCUGCGGCUUUCCACAGUCUUACCAGGUCCACCUGCCGCCAAGGUCCAGAGUCUUCCCCACCAGGAGAAGCAGGGGAUUCACCUCAAAACUUUGUUUUGCCAACAACCCUAGGAAGCAGGCUGCACCUAAGCGGUCUGCUAAUGUGAAAUUAGUCCUUCUCGCUCCUUACACCUGCGACCUGACUUGGGCGUCCAAAGGCCCUGGGGCUGGCUGUUAAUGUCAGCCUUGAAUACCCAGCAUGCAUCUCUGGCAGAUAACACACAACCGUAGCAUCACUACCACACCCAGGAAAACCAACGUGGGUUCGCCCACACUAUCUAAGGCCCUGUGUUCCAAUUCCCAGCUACCUCACGCAUACUGCGACUUCAAACAGAUCCCAUGAAGGUACACCUGGUGAAUUUUGUUAGUGGCUCAGUCUCUUCAAGCGUAGCAAGGGUUUGAAAUUUGAUCCUCUGCUUCUAUUGGCAAGUUAGGUCUGAGUAAGACAGAGGCUUCCAGCCAAGAAGCCUGCCCUGCCGUGUUGGGUUCCGUGUCCUGAGCCAGACCCGGAUGAGCCAGUGAGAAUUCGGGUUACCGAACACAAACAGGAACAGCACUCCUGCACCCCAGAACCCGACAGGAUCACAGCCUUGCUCUGACCGAGGCCGACUCCGGGGUUCACACAGCACUCGGCUCACAGCUAGGUCCACACUUGGGCUGAUUGUGGUUGGAAAACCACUGACGCUGUUGGUCCCAACUUCCACUCAGGUCUGCCCACCAGCCGUUCCUCUUGCAGGGCAGGAAGCCGAGGUCCAGGUCGUCGGAGGGUCCACACCGGCAGGUUCAGAGCAGCAGUGUCGCGUGGAGCCGGCUUCUGCAGCGGGCGGGGCCACAGGGCACCCUGGCCACCGAAGGGUGACAGGUCAGUGCACCUUGGCUCACAGGCCUCAGGCCUGCUAUGGCUGCCUGACAGGUUCUACGGGCUGCAGGCCAUGCUGGCCACCAGGGCUCCAGCCCACACCUCCAGGCUGACCGCUCCAAAAAGAAGAAGGAAAAGGAAGAGGAAGAGGAGGAGGAGGAGAAAAGAAAGGAAGGAAGAAAUGCCAGCCUGCUGACCUAGGAUGACCUAGAAGAUCAUCUUAUGGGUUUUCCAGACGCGGCUUCAUGGAGACGUGGGGUACAGGGUCUUGUAGGCUGUGUUCUCUCAAACUCGGGUUUCAAGAGACGUGAGUAUUGUGUGCUACUCGGAAGCAUUUCCAAUGUGGGUGACGAAGGUGAGCCAUUUGCCUGGUGGUCCUCAAAGCCAACCCUGUGUUCAACACGAGUGAGCUCAGCGGAGCAGCUGCUAUAACAAACAGGACUUUCUCCUUGGGUCUGUUGAAGAAGAAGGAGGACUUGGAAGGACUGUUCACCUCUAGGCUCUUGGUGGCUUUAGAGACUCCGGACCUCCAAGUGUAGAGGUCUUUCUCUCUGGACCAAAGGGGAGGCAGUAGAAGGACGAACAACCAGGAGAGAGAGAGUUGUGCCCUGGCAAGUCCCAGGGCCAUGCAGAAGGGGUCCUUCGGCAGGCGGGGGGUGGAGCUGCGACUGAGGUGAGGAGAGCCAGAGGCACCACCUGGAGCAGGACCCCGCUGCCUUCGGGAGCUGUGCUGACUUGGGGUGAAAAGAGGGAGAGAAGCUUCCCUCAUUCAUUAACCGACCGUUUCCUGCGGGUGAGGAGGAGGGAAGAAGAGCUGCCCGCAUGUCCCUGCCACCUGAGCUAGAAAAGUGCACUUGAGGGAGCUGGGACAAGGCACACCGCGCAUGACCUAGGGAGGGAUGCCUCUUCAGCAUUCGGGUCUCUGCCCAGCAAUGACCCUGAGCCAAGAUGGCCAUCCUUCCUAGAACUCCCUCCCCACUGUACUUUCUCAACACCCACUUCCUUCUUACCAACCCCAGUUCUCCUUCUGGUUGGGGCCUUACUGUAAGAACGCCUUUGAGAGAAAGCACCAGACAAAGAGCCAACCAAGACACAGCCAGGGAGAGCGCGUGAGCCCUCAAACACAGCUGCAGAAUUAAAACACAACAGAGGAACAGAGUGUUCCAGCUGAUGAA